GCAAAUGUGUCGGAAUUGGUAUACGAGCUGUACUUAGGAUACAGUGUCUCACGACUUAAGAGUUCGAGUCUCUUCAUUUGUA
rnacentral:tRNA from 2 species